rnacentral:rRNA from 1 species
UGGCUCAGAUUGAACGCUGGCGGCAGGCCUAACACAUGCAAGUCGAGCGGAAACGACUUAACUGAACCUUCGGGGAACGUUAAGGGCGUCGAGCGGCGGACGGGUGAGUAAUGCCUGGGAAUAUGCCUUAGUGUGGGGGAUAACUAUUGGAAACGAUAGCUAAUACCGCAUAAUGUCUUCGGACCAAAGAGGGGGACCUUCGGGCCUCUCGCGCUAAGAUUAGCCCAGGUGAGAUUAGCUAGUUGGUGAGGUAAGAGCUCACCAAGGCGACGAUCUCUAGCUGGUCUGAGAGGAUGAUCAGCCACACUGGAACUGAGACACGGUCCAGACUCCUACGGGAGGCAGCAGUGGGGAAUAUUGCACAAUGGGCGAAAGCCUGAUGCAGCCAUGCCGCGUGUAUGAAGAAGGCCUUCGGGUUGUAAAGUACUUUCAGUAGGGAGGAAGGUUCAUACGUUAAUAGCGUAUGGAUUUGACGUUACCUACAGAAGAAGCACCGGCUAACUCCGUGCCAGCAGCCGCGGUAAUACGGAGGGUGCGAGCGUUAAUCGGAAUUACUGGGCGUAAAGCGCAUGCAGGUGGUUCAUUAAGUCAGAUGUGAAAGCCCGGGGCUCAACCUCGGAACCGCAUUUGAAACUGGUGAACUAGAGUGCUGUAGAGGGGGGUAGAAUUUCAGGUGUAGCG